UCAAACUUGGUCAUUUAGAGGAAGUAAAAGUCGUAACAAGGUUUCCGUAGGUGAACCUGCGGAAGGAUCAUUAUUAUUUGGGUUGGGUUUACUUUUUCAAAAUUUUACAUUGACCUUUUUUUUAUUUUAAAAAGUAAACUUAAACCAAAUAAGUUUAUUGAAACUUAUUCUCUGUUCCCUAUUUAUAGGGAGGAGCAAGAUGAAUUUUUAUUUAAAACCAUCACUCUUUACAAAAUAUAUUCUAAUUAUAAAUAAAAAAGAUCACUUUCAACAACGGAUCUCUUGGCUCUCGCAUCGAUGAAGAACGCAGC
rnacentral:misc_RNA from 1 species